GUGAAAAAGAUGUGGGCUGGUGAAGCUAUGCAAAGGAGCCAAAAGCCUGCUGGCAUCUGCCUUGAGGAGCCUUUGCCCCCAGAAGGAGCUGGGAGCAGAACUGGGCACAGUGGAGCAGCAGGACAAGAGCUGAAGAGCAAGGCAGGACACUGCUGCACCGCAGCCUGUUCCCCACUGCUGGAUAAAUACCUCGGAGAACUGGAGCCACCAUCGAAUCACUGCUGAUGGGAUGCAUAAAUCAAGGGUGAAAACCUAAAAGCACCUACUCUUGUUUCUGGUACCUCAGAUGGCUCAUUCACAGCUGGCUCAGGGAGAAAAGGUCACACACGGAAGCCUUCAGUACAGUGCUUGUGCAUCUGUGCAUGCUCCUGUUAGCAACACACUGUGGUGCCUCAGAGAUGUUCCUUGGCAGCUGUACACCUCCUCCAGAACGGGCCUUGCUUACACACCAGAUGAGAAUGCAUUUUGCCUCUUCUCACCAGAACCCGCUGUUGCAUCAGAAACACCAAAUCAGAAAAAUUAAGUUAAACAAAAUUUGUUUGGACAAAAAUUAAUCUGUUACAUCUGAAGACCACAGGGCUGAACAAAUGGGAUGAAUUUUAGAGUACAAAGGCAGUUUUUUGAUAAAAAAUACUAAACAUCUGAAGUUGAAAGAUCGGGAAAUGACAGGCCACUCUUAGGCUCAAUCUUAACGGAGCAAAGUUGCUGGGUUUAGUCACAGUUACUCCUAUGACUCAGGAGAUCCUAAAAUUAAAGUCAUUUAAAAUAAUCACAGUUAUUACCUCUGACGUUCUGCUCUGAACAGUAAACAGUGUUAUUUGAUGACAGGCUCUUCUGGCGUCUCUGAGGAAAGCCCCCGGAAAACUUACACGCCAGCCCUGGGGGAGAGUUUUUUGGGGAACCCGAAGCCGGGUGCUGCUCCGGAGUUUGCCUCUGCCAGAGCUGUCUGAGGCUCCAUGGACAACCCCAACCACCUGCAGGUUGCUGAUGGAAUUUUAUUUACUUAGAAUGGGAUCCUGUGGAUAAGCAUCCGUGAAUAACCCAGCAUAUACAAAAAACAAAGAGGCAGUGAUCGCAACUAAAUCAAAUGAAAGAUAUUUUUUCAUUAUUAUUUAAUUACUUUUAAUAUAUCACUCAAGAAAUGGUCUCACAAGAAGCAAGGUAGGAAUGUGAAGACAUAAAUUUUAGAGGAAGCCUUUUCCCUGUGUGCGCAGAGAUUACCUUACGCCUCCUUUCCAGGAGCACCUACUAUAAGCAACAUGCUACUUAACCAAGAAGUUCGCACACUGCAUUAAGUAGCAUGCAACAUCCCACUACAUGAUCUUUAGAAACAGCCCAAAUUUAUUUCAAGGCGCAGCGGUUUUGUAGCUCCGUCUUAUCAAGGAUGCUGAAGUCUGGGUGACACCAUGAUGCUGUGGAAGCGGGCAGAAACACGGCGUCGUUCUUGGUAUUACGUGGGCUUCUGCGGCACUGCCUUCCUGCAGCUGUUCGCUCGCGGGUAGAGAUGGCAGGAAAAGAUGAGCCGAACGUUACAAGAGGAGUAGCGAUAAGCUUGUCGGAGAAGGCCGGGGAAGGGGGCGAGCAAGCAGAUGGCUGGCAGGGAGUGUAAGGGGCAGAGCAGAGGAGCACCUUUCAAAAGCACGGUGGUCCCAGUGGUCUGGAGGAGUGGGGCACUCCUUCCUCCUUCCCUAAUACUGCUGCUGGGAGGAAGGCUCAGCCCUUCCUCAGGGCCGGCUGCCCCAGCUGCUGCUCCCCACUCCGGCUCUGGCUCUCCUCCUGGGCUGCCCUUCCUGGGGUGGCCUUGGCACCGCAGCUGCAGCUCAUGAAUAUGCAAUCUGCUGCUACAUAUGCAACAGACCGGUAAUUCCUCUUCAACCUUGUGGCUAUGGUGCUUUUCACUUUGCAGAAAAAGCUCGCCAAAACAGCUUUAAAAAGGAGGUAAAAACUUUUCUUCUAUGUGUGCUUUGUAACACUUACAUAAGUGUUUACUAUAUCUUAUAGGAUUGGAUAGGGGUUGCAAUUCGCCUUUUAUGUAGAUGCAAACAACGUGUUUUCCAAGUUUUUUUGUUGUUUGGUUGGGGUUUUUUUCAGCAGAGCUUUUUGAACUUGUGUUAUCCUUAGAGAACAAGUUUAAACUUAAAAAGUCACCAAAGUGGAUAAAGGAUAGAAGGUAUUAUCAUAUUUUCUUAUUAAAAAUCUCUGGAGAGGUGUUGCUGCCUUCCCAAACCAAACAUUUCCAUAUAAGUGAUUAAUAUCUGAAUUAAUAUAAAUAUGUAUACGCAAGUGGCUUCUUACCUACUUAUUGUAUUAAACGAGCUAGAGACGUCUUGGCAUUCUCAUAACAUGAGCACUGGGUGUCUGUGUGAGGGCUCCUGUUCAUGUAACGUGUCAGUGAACGUACAGUUUGGGAGGAAACACUCCCGUGCAACUUGAGCGACAGAUUCUCACUCCUGAGUAAAUACCAUCCCCUGUAAAACACCUCCUAGUAAUAAAAGUUCUUCCCCACGAAGCUAUCGGG